rfam:Schistosoma mattheei strain Denwood, Zambia genome assembly, scaffold: SMTD_scaffold0025747
GGCUUUUUGAGUCCGUGCCGAGAUUUCGUCAGACAUCAAACCAUUAUAGCGGAUCAGACUUCCAAGAUAAGUGAAGUU